AUGAUGAACCUCCUUCGGGAGGGGAUUAGUGGCGAACGGGUGAGUAACACGUGGGCAAUCUGCCCUGCACUCUGGGACAAGCCCUGGAAACGGGGUCUAAUACCGGAUACUGAUCAUCUUGGGCAUCCUGGAUGAUCGAAAGCUCCGGCGGUGCAGGAUGAGCCCGCGGCCUAUCAGCUUGUUGGUGAGGUAACGGCUCACCAAGGCGACGACGGGUAGCCGGCCUGAGAGGGCGACCGGCCACACUGGGACUGAGACACGGCCCAGACUCUACGGGAGGCAGCAGUGGGGAAUAUUGCCACAAUGGGCGCAAGCCUGAUGCAGCGACGCCGCGUGAGGGAUGACGGCCUUCGGGUUGUAAACCUCUAUCAGCAGGGAAGAAGCGCAAGUGACGGUACCUGCAGAAGAAGCGCCGGCUAACUACGUGCCAGCAGCCGCGGUAAUACGUAGGGCGCGAGCGUUGUCCGGAAUUAUUGGGCGUAAAGAGCUCGUAGGCGGCUUGUCGCGUCGGUUGUGAAAGCCCGGGGCUUAACCCCGGGUCUGCAGUCGAUACGGCCAGGCUAGAGUUCGGUAGGGGAGAUCGUCAUUCCUGGUGUAGCGGUGAAAUGCGCAGAUAUCAGGAGGAACACCGGUGGCGAAGGCGGAUCUCUGGGCCGAUACUGACGCUGAGGAGCGAAAGCGUGGGGAGCGAACAGGAUUAGAUACCCUGGUAGUCCACGCCGUAAACGGUGGGCACUAGGUGUGGGCAACAUUCCACGUUGUCCGUGCCGCAGCUAACGCAUUAAGUGCCCCGCCUGGCGAGUACGGCCGCAAGGCUAAAACUCAAAGGAAUUGACGGGGGCCCGCACAAGCGGCGGAGCAUGUGGCUUAAUUCGACGCAACGCGAAGAA
rnacentral:rRNA from 1 species